CCUACGGGUGGCUGCAGUCGAGAAUCUUCCGCAAUUGACGAAAGUCUGACGGAGCGACGCCGCGUGCAGGAUGAAGUUCUUCGGGAUGUAAACUGCUUUUAUAGGGAAUACGUUACCCUACGAAUAAGAGGUUGCUAAACUCGUGCCAGCAGCAGCGGUAAUACGAGUGCCUCAAGCGUUAUCCGGAAUCAUUGGGCGUAAAGGAUGUGUAGGUGGCUCUGUUAGUCUCACGUUAAAUUUUGCGGCUUAACCGUAAACCUGCGUGGGAAACGGCAGAACUCGAGGGUGCAAGGGGUCUCUGGAACUCUAGGUGUAGCGGUGAAAUGCGUUGAUAUCUAGGGGAACACCAAAAGCGAAGGCAAGAGACUGGGGAUCCUGACACUGAAACAUGAAAGCGUGGGUAGCGAAUGGGAUUAGAUACCCUUGUAGUC
rnacentral:rRNA from 1 species